GUGCCAGCCGCCGCGGUAAUACGGAGGAUCCAAGCGUUAUCCGGAAUCAUUGGGUUUAAAGGGUCCGUAGGCGGGUGCGUAAGUCAGUGGUGAAAGUCUGCAGCUCAACUGUAGAACUGCCAUUGAUACUGCACACCUUGAGUAAUUAUGAAGUGGUUAGAAUAUGUAGUGUAGCGGUGAAAUGCAUAGAUAUUACAUAGAAUACCGAUUGCGAAGGCAGAUCACUAAUAAUUUACUGACGCUGAUGGACGAAAGCGUAGGUAGCGAACAGGAUUAGAAACCCGUGUAGUCC
rnacentral:rRNA from 1 species